UACGAAGGGGGCUAGCGUUGCUCGGAACUCAGUGGCGUAAAGGGUGCGUAGGCGGGUCUUUAAGUCAGGGGUGAAAUCCUGGAGCUCAACUCCAGAACUGCCUUUGAUACUGAGGAUCUUGAGUUCGGGAGAGGUGAGUGGAACUGCGAGUGUAGAGGUGAAAUUCGUAGAUAUUCGCAAGAACACCAGUGGCGAAGGCGGCUCACUGGCCCGAUACUGACGCUGAGGCACGAAAGCGUGGGGAGCAAACAGG
rnacentral:rRNA from 1 species